rnacentral:rRNA from 1 species
AAUAGCGUAUAUUAAAGUUGUUGCGGUUAAAAAGCUCGUAGUUGGAUCUCAGUCCACGCUAAGCGGUCCACUUGUCGGUGGUUACUGCUUAGCUGGACAUUUUACCGAGUCAGGCCUUGAUGCUCUUAAUCGAGUGUCUUGGCCGCCCGGUACGUUUACUUUGAAAAAAUUAGAGUGCUCAAAGCAGGCUUUACGCCUUGAAUAAUCUUGCAUGGAAUAAUGGAAUAGGACCUCGGUUCUAUUUUGUUGGUCUUCGGAAUCUGAGGUAAUGAUUAAGAGGGACAGACGGGGGCAUUCGUAUUGCGGCGCUAGAGGUGAAAUUCUUGGACCGUCGCAAGACGAACUACAGCGAAAGCAUUUGCCAAGAAUGUUU